GUGACAUUGAAGAUUCAGUUGGACACUAAAGCGAAAGUGCAGAUGGGUGGACUAAAGACAAAGAAGGUAGGGAUUAGGGUUACGUGUGAAGGAAUUAAAGGGACUGUACCGAAAGGCAAGUCUCCGACGGUGGCCGUAACUACGUCGUCCAAAUGCGAGGUUGAUCUGAGAAUCAAGAUCUGGAAGUUUACUUUCUGAUCUACUAAUUACUGUAUUUUUUUUUUUAUUAUUAUUUUUUGG
rnacentral:misc_RNA from 1 species